GGGUGAAGAACCGGACUAGUCCAACUAGCUGCAGUGCUGCCCAGGGUCAUAUUGCUGCUUACAUUCCCACACCUCCAGCCAUGCCAACUGUGUAAUAUCAACAGAAAGAGAAAACAGAGUCAUCUCCUUUAACAAAGAGCACUGUUAGCUCUGGCAACACUGUAAAUCAUGUCUUGAAUGGCCACCUAAAUAAGAAAAAUAAAGAACUGAGGACAAAAUGGUUGUAUACACAUAACAGUCCUCACGUGACAAGUAAGGAAACAUUGAAAAAGUUUGUGAGGACUUGAUUCCAGUAAAAAAUCAUGUAAGUCAAGAUUUAUUUAUCCCACUUCCACAUCAAAAAUAACCCAGCAACAAAAAAAAAAAAAAAUCCCUAGAAAUUCCCAGCACCGCUAGGCCUUGUACCUACAACUGAUAAGACAUAAAAUGCAUAAUCUUCAUAAAGAGGAUUAACUGCAAAAGUUUGAGUCAUAUAGAAGAACAGUAUUAGCCAAUCAUCUUCAAAGACUAAGGAAGAAAGAGUUGAUUAUUACAUAUUAUUUAUCUUUAAAGGAAUUGUCUUUCUUUUUUUUAUUUGGUGUCUCUUUAAGUCCUAUAACUUAAUUUUAUGCAUACCCAGACACUUCAGUUCUUCAGUGCUGUACAUCUAUCCUAAAAUCUUCUAAUCGAAAAUCAUCUAUUAAAUCCAUCCCUGAUAUCUACUGCAUAUGGCAGAGUUGUGGUAAGAUUUAAGUGAACGCAGUCUAAUUUUUAUUUGUUUCUGAGGUAGCAAUUAAGGUGAACAUUGCUUCCAAAAACCUCUGAACAUCAAAACUAGCAAAACUAAGAGAACUAUAAGCAUUCAUUGAAAAUGUGACUCCUUCUUGUCUAGGGACCUUAAAGGAUACUGUAGUUAGAUGCAAACUGAAGACAGCCCAAUCAGGGGGAAAAGUUGUGAUUUUCUACCUAACCUUUCCACUUAAACUGUUUGGGAUUAAUUUCUUACAGGCAGUUCUGUUAAACAAAACUUGGUAAAUAUCUUCCCACUGAAAUGGUGAUUAUUACAACAAAACAAAUUGUAAGUCAGGGGCCUUUGACAAAUAGCAAAAACUUCUAUCAAGUUCCUAAAGAGACUGGAGUCAUUAACAUUACAGUCAUCACCCUUGGCAAGAGAGCAACUAGGAACAAAGAAGAAUUAUUACUAAAAGAACAAUAAAGUGGUUUAGAUACAUCAAGAUCAAUUAGGCAUUAGUUUUAAUAUAGCCUAAAGUUAAAAGCUGUAAAACAACAGAGAAUUUUCCCAUUUGCAUCAUUUAAAGUUCACAGCCCAAGGAAAAUACCAUGUAUAAAGAAACCAGAGAGCCUUCUGUGAAUUGUGUGUCAAUUAUCUAAUUACUUUUGAUAACAUCAGGUGCAAACCUUCAAGGAAAAAGCUUUAAAGAGCUCUUGCAGGUACCAGUGUAUUAGGAGAGUAAUAAGACUUCUUGUAGGGAGAAGAGAAAGGAGGAGAAACUGCAUCUUGCUUUGAAAUUAAUGUCCUGUCCCUGGUUGCAAGAAUGUGAGAGACAAGAGUUGCACAACAGUUACUGGAGCAUGUUAUCAACUCUAAAUACAGCUUCUCAGCUUGGGAAGAGAGACAGGGAGACUGGUUUCUACUUUGACUCUUACUUCCAGGCUGAGAUGCUGUCAUGUAUUCCUGCUAGUCGAGAAGGAAAGAAUCCAAGUCUGGCUCCUCCCUCCUGCCUCCCUCCUUUGUCUGCAAUGUCUGUGGAUGGGGAAGAGUGAGAUCCUGCUUUGGGAUCCUGCUGCCUGGGCAGGUCCUUGCAGAGGUAGCAGAGCUUCUCUGACAGAAGAAGUCAGCAACAAGAUCUCAGCCUACAGACAUAGCUCCACCUUAGGGCUUGCAUAGGGCAGCUGCCCUUGAACUCCAUCACAAAAGGCCUGUGCACCACCAGCUUGGUCAAUAGCUCCAAACAUUAGCUGCUCAGUGGUGGUGUUUGUAUCCGUGCUUCUCUGCCUGGUAAUUCCCUGCACCAGCUGGAGGACUGUUGCCUGCCUGUAACUGAGAUAAUCUUCAGCUAGCUUAUACCUAAAGACUGGACAACAUGCUGUCCCAGCCAGGUGGGAAGAUGUGUCUGCACUCCUGGUCAGCACCAGUAUCUCUGAUUUUUGAAAGAAAAUUGUAGUGACUUCUUCAGCUGGAAGCCUUGGUGAGUAGAUGCAGAAGAGGGUGUCUGGUGGCAUGUUUGUAUUUGGAUGAUUGCUCUUCUGCCUAAGUGAUUUACAAGUGACAUUCACCACUGUUUUAAUUAAACAUGCCUUUUGAUUUAGAAUUGGUAAGCUUCUACUUCAAGGAAAUGCCAGGGUAAACUUUUAUUUUGGCAGGGGGAAGCAAAACUGGUAAGUAGGAUAGGGUCUCCUAACAGACAGAGAAGUGGGAAGAGUUCAGAAAGUGCAGCUAGGGCACACUAACCUCGGUAGUAGCAACUUCAAACUAAUCCCUUUGCCACAGAGGUUGGCUCUGUAGCUACUGCCUGAACUAGAGGAGAUGUGCACUUUGUUUGGAUUACUUGGUUAUUGUCAUCUCCUCAGUGUUUCCCACAACUCCAGUGGAGAGCAGGAAACCAGUCGUCAUUGGCAUCCUCCUGAAGUGCCUCCUUAGGCUAUCCCACAUGCUUCAGGUGACCCAGGAGGGUCCAUGCAGGCACCACCAGCACAGGAGACUGCAAUCAGGAGCAGGAACAUCCAGCUCCUCAUCAACCCCACAAAGCAACAGACCAUGUCAAAGAUUUGUAUAAAGCUGUUACAAGUACAUGUUCGGGGUUGGGGUUUUUUUAGCUGUUUCACUUGGAGUCUUGUUUGUAUCUCCUUCUUAGUGACCAGCUGAGCCUUCUCCAUGUUCAUGACAAGCAACCUGCAUUUAUGGCUCUUUAAGAAGGUUUGACCCCUGACCCCUCAAGGACUGGGACACACAACUGACAUGAGACCACACCAAGCAAAAAUGAGAUUCAGGAAAUGAUGCAAGUUUAAUUUCUGUUUGAAAUGUUCAGAAAUAUGGCACCUUGGAAAAGGAGAUUUUCCAGACCUGAGACUGGUCUCAGUAUAUGACUACUCAUAUUUUGUCUGGCUCAAAAUACAGGUAAGUUUUUCUGAAAAGUAAUUUUAAACAUAUAUAUAUUACUUUUUAAAUGGCAAAACCAUGCUCAGAAUCAUUCCAUUUCUUCCCAUACUUAAAUGAAACGCCCACAUAACAGACCAUCCCAUCCACUAUUUUAAUGAGAUCUAAAUCUGUCAAGGAUUGUCAACACUCAUCAGUGUGGAUAUUUUUAGGACUUGUAGGUGCAAAAGAACUUAAUUUUUUCUAGACAAAAGCAGUAUUAAUAAUACAACAUAGUUCAUAAACAUUGACUGGUACUCAUUAUCAGAAAGGGCAGCUGGAAAAAAAAAUCAUUUUACAUUCCAAUCUUCAGGACAUUGGUAGACUCCAGAGCAGUACAAUAAAUAAUGAGCUUGCUUACUGCUGUUGUGUGGGAAAAGAGAAGAGGAGCUGGAGGUGAUACUGCAGGAAUAAAACAGACUAAGUAGGCAUGACAGGAGUAUGGGGGCUAAAUGUAAUGACAGGAACUUCAUAACACAUUCUUCAUAAAAGUGACAGGAAAAGCAAAGGAGGUGAACAGCACUCUGCCAAAAGCAUCUAUUCAAAUGCUGAAAUAACGAAGGAUAAUUUUUGGUAGGACAUGCAUGGCUAAACUGCUGGCUUUAAAAAUGAAGGAUAAUUGAGAAUUCCAGGAAGAAUGGUACUAAAGACUGGAGAUCAUGAGCACAAAACAGUGAAGAUUAAGCAAUCAUAGUCUAAGUUGCAAAAGCAUAUAUUAAGUACUCCCUAGAGGCACUUGUUUGAUUAAAGUACUUUUAAAACUAUCUCAGAAAUUUGGAAGAAUUUAAAAUCCUUUACUUCAGUACAUUUUUGUCAGCUCUGAGAUUAAAUAUACACACACUGUAAAUAUUUAGGGCAUAACUUUAUAUUCAUCAUAAUGUACACCAAACUGUAGCCUUUGGAUUAUUCCUAGCAGUGACCACCUCAUUAAUCCAGAAUCUCUCUUCAAAUCCUUCAGUGCUGCAGGUGGUGUCAGAAGGGAGCAUGAGCUUAAAAUAGAGUAAGGGAGAUCUGGUCAGGCAUCUUCAGCCACACAUUGAGUUCCUACCUUCUCAGAUGAAAACUAGGGAAGGUGUGUCUUGGAUUCCACCAGGACACACCAGGACUCCGAUAUGCAGUACUAAUAAAUCUGCUGUAGGGCUAAGACACUGCGCAAGCUCUCUGUAAGUGUCAAUGGCCAGCUCACCUUAGAUCCAAAGGAACAGUGUAGAAAACAGCAAAGGCUUUGCUCAGAGAUGACCAUCUAAAUGCAAGGUCAGGAUGGGAAAAGAGAUUACAUGGAGCUGGAAGGUUUCACUAGAGCAAAGGCGUUGCUUGUGUUUAGAGUAUUCUGUUUAGGAAGGGAAGUUACUUUCUGCCAGCUGGCAUUUUCCAACACUUUCUUUAAUCAAAGCAUGACCAGGUUUGCUGUUACAUGAAGCCUAGAGUAUAUCAUGCAGGGAAAUACUGCACUUGAUGAAGUGCUGGUAGUUAUAUCUGGAAACAUCUAAAGAAAGUGUAACUGUUUGAGGUCUAGAAUCCAUUUGUCACGGUUUAACCCCAGCUGGCAGCUAAGCACCACUACACCUCACACACUCACCCCCAGCAGGAUGUGGGCGAGAACUGGAAGGGCAAAAGUAGGAAAAGUUUUGGGUUGAAAAAAAGAUAUUUAAAUAAGUAAAGGAAAAGUCAUGCACACAAGCAAAGCAAAAGAAGAAACUCAUUCACUCCUUCCCAUAGGCAGGUGCGGGUUCAGCCAUCCCCAAGAAAUCUGGGCUUUAUCACACCUAAUGAUGACUUGGGAAGACAAACAACAUCACUGCAAAUGUCCCCCUCCCUUCCUUCUUCUUCCCUCACUUUAUAUACUGAGCAUGGUGCCCUAUGGUCUGAAAUAUCCCUUUGGUCAGUGGGGGACAGCUGUCCCAGCUGUGUCCUCUCCCAAUUCCUCAUGUACCCCCAGCCUCCUGUCUGGCAGGACGGGGUGAGGAACACAAAAGGCCUUGAUUCUGGGCAAGCCCUGUGCAGCAACAACCAAAACAUCCUGGUGUUAUCCUUUCCAGCACAAAACCAAAAAGUCCCAUACCAACUACUCUGAAGAUAAACUCCACCCCAGCCAAAACCAGCACACCAUUGCUAAUUUCAAAGAUUUAAUUUCAAACCUAUUUACAUGACAAAAAAAAAAUAGUUGUGUUUGUGCUCUCUGCACUAAGUAGAAGGAAAAUUUGGUCUCUGAAGUGCAGAUUUUACAAAGAUUGUCUAUGUGUUGAUAGAAGACAACUCUCAAAUGAGCAAAAUGUGAGGUUUUAUGUAGAGUGAAGCCUUCAUAGCAGCUUGUUGUACUAUGGAACUUCGUAACACAUGAUUUUCACCUUGAGAGGUACAAAAGUCUGUAGGAAUUUCCUUGCAGACAUUGUGUUCUGAACAAGCAGAGUAGUUUUUUGUGGCCAGAUAUUCAGGACAAGAGUUAAGGGGUAGAUCCACAUCCAGAUACUUCUCCUGUGUGAGCAACUGCAUGAGGUUUUGACACUGGUUAGUGACCCUGCUCCCAACACCAUCCCCCAAAUCCCCAGCAAUAAGGCAACUGCAUGGCUUAGGGGAUUGGUAAUCGGAUACCUCACCUCCAGGUCAUCCUAGGUCUCUGGUUCAAGAGCAGCAAGGCUUUGUAAUGACUUAAAUGCCAUUGCAUAUUUAUUUGGAGUCAUACAUGGAGAAGUGAACAUAUGAUUUCUAUGUGAAAAGCAGUAGGUGUCCACAUACAGAUACAAACAUUUUGACAGUUGCCAGCCUGUUUGAAACAUUUGAAUUACUAAAUAUCAGUCUAACAGAGAUUUGAAUAAUUCCCUAAUAACAGAUUUGUGUUUGGCUUUAAUACUGUCUUUAUAGUAAAAGCAUCAUGGUUUAUCUUUAUUUAUAUAUUAUGUACUUAUUUUACUUUUAUAUAUACUUAUGUUUUUAUAUAUACAUUUAUAUUUACUUACAUUUUGUCACUAAGUGGGACUAAAGCUUAUGUUUAACCCUCCAUCUUUUUCUCUCCAGGUUGUAAAAGACUUUGAAAAGGGGUUUUGAAUAGUACUGGAGGCAAUCCAAAGCCAAAUUUAAUUUGAAUUUUCUGUCUUAGCUGAUACAAAUUCAACAAGAGUGAAAAUAUAUUCUAUAGGUCUUCUUAGGCACUUUACUACAUAGAAGGAACUGUAAGUGCUUCUUAACGGUAAGAAUUACAGUUCUUAAUUCUUAACGGUAAGAAUUUGAAACUUCAGCACAUCUUUAACAAGGAUACAAUUGAAAUAAAACACUUCCAAGGUCAGUAUUAACCUAAUACUUCUGGAGUCAGACUGCAUGGCCUGAGCGUGAGAAGAAAAAAAAGGUAGAUGAUGCUUGCUGUUGAGGAAUCAGGGCAGGAAGCUAUAAUGGUCAAAGAGAAGCAUGACGCCUUCUCCAAUCUGCUGUCAUUGGUGGCCCCGGCAAAGAGGGGCUGGCUGGCAUGAACACCCUGUCCAUUGGCCCGUACUGCCUCCCAGUGGGCAUCAGCUACUUCUCUUUCUGGAUAAAACCAAAGCAGGGGGUUUAAAAUUCCUGGUACAGAAGCCAUUGUCCUCGGAUAGCUAAUGGGGGAGUUCACUGACAGCGAGACUUCAGGUAUGUAAAACCAAAACAACAAAGCUCUUCAUCAUCUUCCAAGGGUGUAGCUCUCUGUGAAAUCACAGAUGCUUGGCUUAUCUUUGCCUAUGGCUUCAAUGUAGAAUAUACACUUCCAUCUGAAAAAAAAAAAAAAAA
rnacentral:lncRNA from 1 species